AUGCUCGUUCUCUUCAGUAUAUUCACUUCAACAUCUGGUGCUUCUUCAGUUCAUCGUAGUGUGCAUUUUCGCUUCAUCUUGCAGGUACGAUCAUUCUCUGCCCAUCCCGAAAAAAAAAACGAUCAUUCUCUGCCCCUGCUAAUGUAUUUUGUAGUAACUGUAAACAAAAGAGGUAGCACACUGGAACAAAACAGCAGUGAAGAAAGAUACCCUAUGUUAAUUUUGGUCACUCUAUUGUUCGUUCCAUCACUUGGAGAUGUAUGCCUGACCAUUUUUUCUCAAAUUUGGCAUUUGUCAAGUUGUGAGGCUACCCAUUCGGGUGUUCAUUUCAUUGGUUAA
rnacentral:rRNA from 1 species